ensembl:lincRNA
CCCAGAUGGUGAGCAGUGCCUGGGGCUCCGCAUCCUUCCUCCCUGCCAAGGCCUCUGUGUGGACGCGUGGCUGCGCGGGCUGCCGGGCCACCUCAGGUGUCUCCGGUGACCUCCGUGCACCUGCUCCUUUCUUUUCCAUCUGCUGCCGGGAGGCCUCAGACUUCCAGGAAGAGGUCACUGACGUGUGCUUUGAUUUUUAUGGCCAGAUCCACAGGAAUGAUUACCGUUCGUUUCAUCUUCUCCUGAGAAGAGGCUUUGUGUGUUUGGAAAAGAACAGUGUGUCGGCAAGGUGGGGCUCGCUGAAUCCGAGGAACGCGGUGGCCACGCCUGUCCAGCCCUGCCGUCCUGGAGGUGGGCUGGGCCCUCCUCUCCCAGCUUGUUUCUCCCAUGCUGCGCACACGUGCGCAUGCGUGCACACUCUCUCUCACACCCCCUUGCCCCUCCCCUUCAGAGCAUCCUGCCUCGGUCGUGACCCACGGCCCUGCGGCUCUGGGCCUUGGGCACAGCCAGUGCUCAGAUGCAGCGACCCUGAGCAGAGGGCAGCCAGGAGCGAGGGCGCAGAGAACAUGGGCAACGCUGUCCUGCGGGCGCUCAGGCAGGAAAUGACCACAUCUGAAGGAGAAAGUCAAGGACAAGAUGGGAAAAGUAAAGAAUUUCCCUCCACUUCUAAUCAGGAGCAGGCUGAGGCUGGCGAUGGCUGCGAGGACGUGUGCUACACCGUCAUCAAGCACGCGGCCCUGCGCUGGCCGUCGCUGACCUCCACUGACCAUGGCUAUGAGAAUGUGGAGGCUGCCCAGCAGGGAGGCAGGCGACCCCGGGAGGAGUCGGAAACGGAGUACGCCCUGCUCAGGACUGCUGCUGCCGCUGCCGCUUCCUGCACACCCGAGCACGACUACGAGCUCGUGCUCCCACAGUGACCCCUGGCUGCUGUCCCUUCCGGCCCUGGACGUGCGGCAGGAGGGCACCUGCACUGUGGCACCCUGCUCGGUGGCACUGCUGCGGUCUGGGGCGGGCACCUGCGUGGAUGGAGUGACUGCCAGAGCUGGUGUUCUUUUGUAAAUGCUGAGGCACUGAGUCGGUGAACAGCUUUGCUAGGAUGAAAAGGACACACAAACCCCAGUCCGGCUUCUCCAGGGCCGGUCGUCCUCUGCAAAUUCAGACGCGGAUGACCCUCCGGGGAAGAGCUUUGCUUGGGAGGUGUAAUAAACUUUGAAAUGUAAGACUGGAGCAGGCUCUGCUACCUUGAUAUUUACUUCAGUUUGUCUGAGGAAUCUGGUUUUGUGGUCAAAGUUCACAAACCAUUUUUUUUAAACGUUGUCCUUUGUGAGAGGAGGCGCUGAGCGUGUCUCAGGGAGAGGUGGGGAAGCACAGGCCCAUCCUCGUCCUUUCUGUCUGAUAGUAAGUCGGAGGGUUCUACUCAAAGAUCAACAGAAAAUGAAAAGCAAAAGUGAACUUGUACUUAAUGGCUGUGUUCACAGCCUACCGUCAAUUGAACUCUUGGUCAGAUACCUCUUCUGAAGGAACGGUGUCUGGUUUUAAAACCCCAGAAAUGUGGUGAAUCAUGCCAUCUGUUUUUACUGUCUCAAUGAAUUUUUACAUGGUGAAUAAGUACCCAGAGGCCAUAAAAGUCAGAGUGUUCCCGA